ensembl:lncRNA
UUUCACCCAGGGUGGUAGAUUUGGGGACAGUUUUCCUUGUUGAGGGCAGGUUUGGGGGUAGUUUUACAAGAGGAUAUGAGGUUUUGGGCUACUUUUCACCCAGGGUGGUAGAUUUGGGGACAGUUUUCCUUGGUGAGGAAAGGUUUUGGGCUGUCUUUUGCCCGGGGCCGGUAGAUUUGGGGGUAAUUUUUCUCAUUGAGGGCAGGUUUGGGGGUAGUUUUUCUAGGUAAGUGUCAAUUAGGAGUGAAAUUUUGGCCCUUUUUUUUUUUUUUUUUAAUCCAGGGGAGGGCAGGUUUGAGGCAGUUUUACUUGGUAAGGGUAGAUUUGGGGGCAGUUUUACCCAGGGAGAGCAGGUUUAAGGGUACUUUUACUCGAAAAGGGCAGGUUUUGGGGUAGUUUUACUUGGUAAGGCUAGUUUAGGGGGCAGUUUUACCUGGGGAGGACAGGUUUUGGGCUGUUUUUUUUACCAGCUCCAUUAAGUUAUGUGAACUUGUU